AGGAUUCCAAUGCGGAUCAGAUAUCCCCACAGGAGUGAAACGACUUGCACUGGAGCCAGUGAGCAGGGGCUUGUGGGAAAAGGAGUACACCCAAUCGUAGUACUUACUGACAGGCACAAUGUGUUCUAUCUACUGCAAGAGAGGCCCCCUCACUGUGGCCCACAAGCAGCACACUAUGAAAAGUUCAACUGACAGCCUGGAGUGAGCCAGCCAGCAGGAGGAAUACGAAACAAGGUACUGGGACAUAUCCAGCUUGGUAGUUAGCUAGCCACAUGCGAAGGAACAGAGCUGCUUGUGGGUGCGCCGUUGCUGUGACCUUCUCCCACUCUCGUUUACGGCAGAAUUAAGUGGGGAAAGUCUCGAAAUUCUAUCAAAACCUCGGUGACAAAACUCCCUAAAGGCAGCCUGAAAAGUAGCUGAAUUUUUACCAGUAAAAGCCGCUGGAGGGGUCUGAAGACUCGCUAAAUAUAGUGACAACGUUGCUAAAUUGGCAACACUGACGACAAUGUCGCCACCCCCCCUGGAGGAUGAGAACCUGCGCCAUUGACAAACUUCAAGCUAUACUGGGUUUGCAACAAAUCAUAUCCUAUCCAACCACAGUUCAUUCUUCUAUAUCUCAGGUACACAAUUGUCUGAGUUGGUUUCUCUGGACAGCAUAUCUGACUGGCUAAAAAUCUAAUAAAUAUAUUGUUUGAGAUGUUUUUAAGAAGGAUAUUUUGUGUGCACAAAAUGUGUUUCCUGUCAAAUUCCGUAUGGGGAACACUGUAGUAAAUGUGUACUCAUGACAUAGAUGCAGAAAGUAAACAGCAUAGUGGGUAAAUUUCCACAACAACUAAGAGAGUUGAAGCGCGAGGCUCAACUUCCCUGCUGUUUUGGUUCCCUGGCGUCCAUGCUGUGAACACUGUACACUGUCAAGAAAACUUGUGCACAUGGGCCGAUACUGUGUGUGACUCACUCAUCUCAAUAUCUGCAAUGCUGCUCAUGGCAACGUCAUUUCACUGAGUCUAACUUUACUUGAAUAAAUGGCUAUCGUUUUACAGU